AGAUUGAAAGUUUCAGGAAAGGGAUUCAAGAAGUCACCUAGUCCAUCCCCCUGCACUGAAAAAAAUGAUGCUGGAAUGCUGAUGGCUUAAGACAACUUUUUGGCAUGAAGAGAGCUACAAAGCACAAAAAACAAAAUAUGAACUCAGAAAGAAACAAGAAGAAAUCAGCGUUUUCAUGGCAUCGACAAGAAGCUCUUUAUUUUUCCUCAAGUUUUCUUUUCUAAAAAAAAUGGAACUAAAACAUUUGCAGAAACAAGACAAACUUUCUCUUCAGGUGACAAUAUUCAAGCAUGUUCUUUUACUAAAUUUAAAUUGAAAGAAAAAAAUUUUUUGAACAGGAUGCAGUAUCAGGAGAACUGUGAACCUUGAAAGACAACAAAACAAACUCUUUAAAACUGUGAACCAAGAAAUGGAAGGAACAACUUUUAAACCUCUUAUUACACCCUGUGUGUUCUUAAGGAGACAACAUCAUCUUUUCCUAAAGCAACAAUAUUUAGGGAAUGGUUUGCAACAUACCUUUUAUUAUAAUCUUUUAAGGAAAACCUGCAUAUUUAAUAAUUAGCAGUGGAGUAACUCUGACUUUACCA